UUACAUAAAUUUAUGUAGUUAUUUAUUAUUUUAUUUCCAGAAAUACCCACCCAGACUCAUUCUCUCCCUAGUUGAUUUGCGCGAUUUCUCUCUGAACCCAUAUAUGGAAACUCAAGGAGGCAAAAUCGAUUUCCUCUUGUUUCUCUCGAAACCUAGAUUUGCGGUAAAGGCAGGGUGUGUAUGGAGGUGGAGAUCUAGAACGAGAAGGUGAUUGCAAAAUCAAAGGACAAUGACUUCAAAAUCGAUUGCUGUGGAGCUUUGUGACUAUGAAAAUCUGUUCGACGAUGUUUUCAAAAUCAAACGCGAAAGCAAUCUGGAUGGUAAAAAUGCAAGCUCUAACACAGAUAAGCGAAGAUGAGCAAGAUACAACUCUGGGUGGCAAUCUCAAAGCUUUAAAUGAAACAAACCAUUACUUCAGCUUUCAACUUGAGAUCACUUCACCCAUUGAUGCUUUUAGCUGUGGAACAAAGAUUGCAAAAGGGAAAAGAUUAGAAGUGACUCGCUUGAUGCAUUAACUUUGAUUCGUGAUGCCUACAAUGAUACCCACAAGAUUGUGAGGCUGUUGUUUGAGAGAGAUUGUUGAUCUUUUUAUGUUUGGUUUUUUGGGAUUUUUUUAAUGAUCAGGUUUGUUGAUUGAAUCUAUGAUUUGAGAUUGAAUUGUUCGAUUUGUUGUUGUUCAAUUUUGCACUUCAAAUCUAAUCAUGUAUGAGAAUGAAUAUAAUGAUUACAUGGUUUUAUGUA